AGUGGAGGGAGGCUCAUUUCACUCUCAAGUUUCAUACAAGGGAUUUGGGUUAUUCAAUCAAAACCCACCAAUAAUUAGGCCCAAGUUCGAAAAGAUCCAUAUUCCUCUUAAACUGGGACCCAAGCCUCUCCACUCCUCUUUGAAACCUAGCCUAAAUUCAAUUAAAUUUUGAAUUCUUCAGCCCAAGCCUCUUCAGAAUUUCUGGUCUUGGACAAACAUAAAUAAAAUUGUUUGUAAUAGAAAAAGCCAGCACACUUCAAGUACCAGCAGCAGAGGAGAAUCACUGAGCCCGUACAUACAUACCGACCCGGAUAAAAUGGCACGUGAUUCUGCGUUUUGGUUUCGAUUUAUUUGAGUUUGUUAGAAAUGCCCCAUGGUGUGAGGUUUGGGGACUAUGCUUUCUCAAGUGACUCAUAAGCAGUUCGUAUCAGAUCAAAUGGGAAGAUGAAAAAUGCUAGAAUACCCAUAAUUAGACCCUCCUGUUUCUCAUCAUCACAGAAACACAACCUCCCGGUCCCACCAAACCAAACUUUCCUGCCAACACAAGACUCUUUCUCUCAUCCAACUGUUACCUCUUUAUCCUCUGCUCUACAGCAAUACAUCAACUCAGAUAACCCUUCCUAUGGCCAAAAGAUACAUUCCCAUAUUCUCAAAACUGGGUUCAGACCCAACACCAAUAUCUCCAUCAAACUCCUCAUAUUGCAUUUGAAAUGUGGCUAUAUUAAAUAUGCACGCAAAGUGUUUGAUGAAUUACCUCAGACAACUCUUUCUGCUUAUAAUUAUAUGAUUGGUGGGUAUCUUAAACAUGGGUUAGUCGAAGAAUCACUUAGUUUGGUUCGUAGGUUGGUUUAUUCUGGUGAAAAGCCUGAUGGGUUUACAUUUUCUAUGAUUUUAAAGGCAUCUACUUGUGCUUGUGAAGUGCCUUUGCUGUGUAGUUUGGGAAGGCUGGUGCAUGCACAGAUAGUGAAAUUUGAGGUUGAACCUGAUGAUGUUCUUUAUACAGCACUUGUUGACUCGUAUGUUAAGCAUGGGAAGGUUGGUUAUGCGAGGACUGUGUUUGAUAUGAUGUUGGAAAAGAAUGUGAUAUGUUCAACAUCUAUGAUUUCUGGUUACAUGAAUCAAGGCUCUGUGAAAGACGCUGAAGAUAUAUUCAGGAAGACAAUGGAAAAAGAUCUAGUUGUAUAUAAUGCAAUGAUUGAAGGUUACAGUAAAUCAAUUGAAUAUGCUAGGAGAUCAGUUGAGGUUUAUGUUGACAUGCAACGGUUGAACUUUCGGCCUAAUAUAUCUACAUUUGCUAGUGUUAUUGGGGCCUGCUCUGUGUUGGCAGCAUUUGAAAUUGGUCAACAAGUCCAAAGUCAACUUAUGAAGACUGAACUUUUUACUGACAUUAAAUUGGGAAGUGCUCUAGUAGACAUGUACUCUAAAUGUGGACGAAUUGAUGAUGCACGGAGAGUUUUUGACCACAUGCCUGAUAAGAAUGUGUUUUCAUGGACUUCCAUGAUUGAUGGAUAUGGGAAGAAUGGAUUUCCAGAUGAAGCACUUGAGCUUUUUAGCAAGAUGCAAAACAACAGCCACCUUGAACCCAAUAAUGUUACAUUCCUAAGUGCUCUAUCAGCAUGUGGACAUGCUGGGCUAGUUGAUAAAGGGAAGAAAAUUUUUGAGAGCAUGGAGAGAGAUUACUUGAUGAAACCAAAGAUGGAGCAUUAUGCUUGCAUGGUUGAUCUCUUAGGACGUGCAGGAAGUUUAAAGCAAGCAUGGGAUUUUGUAAGAGGGAUGCAUGAAAAGCCUAAUUCUGAUGUUUGGGCGGCUCUGCUUAGUUCAUCUAGGCUGCAUGGUGAUGUUGAGAUGGCAAGCAUAGCUGCAAAUGAACUUUUUAAGUUGAAUGCUGAUGGUCGGCCUGGGGCAUAUGUUGCACUAUCCAAUACUUUGGCAGCUGCUGGGAAAUGGGACAAUGUAAGUGAGCUUAGGGAUGUAAUGAAGGUAAAAGGAAUAUCCAAAGAUACUGGAUACAGUUGGGUUGGAACCGACAUUGCUUUCACUGGUUGCACCCUCUGCCUGCCACCCAUUGUGUCCCUUUACUCCACUUUCAACUUCUUGAUCUGCUUCUUCGCAUACAGCAACGCCACUGCACUGAACUGCUUCCUUCAAUCCUCUCUCUCUCUCUCUAACUUUGCGAAGACAGUUUGAAGGUGAGAUUUGCUAACUUUGCCAAAGAUUUUUAUUUUUAAAAUUUUCUAUGGAUUUAAUCUUCUAAUCCAUUAUGGUUUGGUUAUUUUGAUGAUGAUCUCAGCCACUUCUUGUCCAAACGUUCUUGUAAGUGUGUUAGUCUACAACUCUCGAAUCCAGUUCAUUGUCUUGAUGCAGACUGCAAACAUGAGGGCGAAAAAGGCAGCAAAUGUGACUAAAAUUGCAGCAGUUGGCCCCAUGAAGUUCAGGUUGUACCCAAAAUGAUUUUCCACAUACCAUUUGAUGGUUGGAUCUGGCACAAUUCCUGGCACUUUGAUCGUUGCAUUAAUGUCACCAUACUGUGUCACAAUUAGUCCAUAAACUGUCCAUGCCACUGGGCAGAUAUAGUAAUACCAUGUCCACCACUUGGGGAUUCUCUGAAAGUUCAAAUUGUAAUUGUAUGUGAGGAGAAGUGCUGAUUUUAAAGGUUAUACAAAGCAGUGGAAAUGAAAUUACCGGUUUGGGGAUGAAAAAGCCAGAGAAGAGAGUGAAGAGUGCAUAGAAUGCUGAUGCAAAGAUAGCAGCUGUUUGAUGAUUUGGUGUGAUUGAAACCGUCAUCAUUCCAUAGUAUGUAAAGUAGAGGAAGGAGAAGAAGGUGAUGAAGAAGAACCAGAAGAACUUUGCUACUGUCCAUUGAAAGCUCACCAUCGCAUAUACUAUAAGAGAAUAAUAUGUUGUCUGAACAAAUAUGUAUGGUAUUUCAACAAUCACCUGCAUAACAAUGUUAGAGUUUAAUAGACUUGGACAAGUUCAUAAUAUUUAAUUUGUAACACUUCAAUUGA